rnacentral:rRNA from 1 species
CCUACGGGAGGCAGCAGUGAGGAAUAUUGGUCAAUGGGCGGAAGCCUGAACCAGCCAAGUAGCGUGCAGGAUGACGGCCCUACGGGUUGUAAACUGCUUUUAUACGGGAAUAACGCGCCUUACGUGUAGGGCUUUGCAUGUACCUUAUGAAUAAGGACCGGCUAAUUCCGUGCCAGCAGCCGCGGUAAUACGGAGGGUACGGGCGUUAUCCGGAUUUAUUGGGUUUAAAGGGAGCGUAGGCCGCAUGUCAAGCGUGCUGUGAAAUGUCCGGGCUCAACCCGGGCCUUGCAGCGCGUACUGGCGUGCUUGAGUCCGCGGAAGGCAGGCGGAAUUCGUCGUGUAGCGGUGAAAGGCUUAGAUAUGACGAGGAACACCGAUUGCGAAGGCAGCUUGCUGCAGCGGAACUGACGCUGAUGCUCGAAAGCGCGGGUAGCGAACAGGAUUAGAUACCCUUGUAGUC